UACAGAGGGUGCGAGCGUUGUUCGGAAUUAUUGGGCGUAAAGGGCGCGUAGGCGGCGCCACAAGUCACUUGUGAAAACUCUGGGCUCAACUCAGAGCCUGCAAGCGAAACUGUGGUGCUGGAGUAUGGGAGAGGUGCGUGGAAUUCCCGGUGUAGCGGUGGAAUGCGUAGAGAUCCGGAAGAACACCGGUGGCGAAGGCGGCCUGCUGGGCAGUUGCUGACACUGAGGCACGAAGGUCAGGGGAGCAAACGGG
rnacentral:rRNA from 1 species